AGAGAGGAGUGGAAGUUGGAUACACUUUGUGACUUGUACGAGACACUGACCAUCACGCAGGCUGUUAUUUUUCUCAAUACGAGGCGCAAGGUGGACUGGCUGACUGAGAAAAUGCAUGCCAGAGAUUUCACAGUUUCUGCUCUGGCUCGCGGGAUUGAUGUGCAACAAGUGUCUUUGGUUAUAAAUUAUGAUCUACCUACCAAUCGUGAAAACUAUAUUCACAGGUGAGAAGCCAGCAUCUUGGCUGUAUGGAAAAAAUUCAUACGUUUUUCUACUGUGAUUUGUAUGAAAGGUAACAUCAAAUCAAGGAAUAGAUUCAGUAAAGUCAGUAGUGUUCGGUAAGAUGAUGUAAUUAAAUUUGUACUAGGGAAGGUUGAUGAGAACAAAGUGGGAAAACUUGUAAACAUUGCCCAGAUUGUGGACAUAGGUUUUUUUUUCCACAAUUGUUGGUCUUAGCUUAUGCUUGAGCUUUUAGUGAUGUUGUGUCCAUGUGUUUUUCUUGGUGAUUUUUUCUAUAGUUGGGAUUUUCUUGGUGUCGCUGGUAGCAAUUUGAGUGAACCCUGGUUUAGUUAUAGUGGCUUUAUCCCUAAAUAAAUUGAAUUGUACUUUGUUAUAUGAUGUAAAAAAAGACUUUUUAAAAAAUACAGGAGUCGAUAGCAGCAGUUGAUGACGAGAUGGCACUCAGAAACGGCGUUGACGUAAUUUAGGACGUGGAAUCAUAAGCGAAACAGCACACUGUUUGAAUAAAGAGCGAGUCGGUAUUUAUAUUUGUUUUUCUUUUGUCAUGAUUAUUUGAUUAUUUUUAAGUUGCUCCAGCUAAGGCUUUUUUUUUGUAUUAGUAUUUCUACU
rnacentral:sRNA from 1 species